rnacentral:rRNA from 2 species
UACGGAGGGUGCAAGCGUUAUCCGGAUUUAUUGGGUUUAAAGGGUCCGCAGGCGGACUAUUAAGUCAGUGGUGAAAGCCCACAGCUCAACUGUGGAAUUGCCAUUGAUACUGGUAGUCUUGAGUGCGUAUGAAGUUGGCGGAAUGUGUGGUGUAGCGGUGAAAUGCUUAGAUAUCACACAGAACACCGAUUGCGAAGGCAGCUGACUAAUACGUAACUGACGCUCAGGGACGAAAGUGUGGGGAUCAAACAGG